rnacentral:rRNA from 1 species
AGCGAACGUUUGCGGCGGGCCUAACACAUGCAAGUCGAACGGGCUAGCAAUAGUCAGUGGCGCACGGGUGCGUAACACGUGGGUAAUCAACCCUUCAGCUCGGGAUAACGCCUUGAAAGGGGCGCUAAUACCGGAUGCGACGCGAGGAGCCUCGGCGCUUCGCGGGAAAGAUUCGCAAGGAUCACUGAAGGACGAGCCUGCGGCCCAUCAGCUAGUUGGUGAGGUAAGAGCUCACCAAGGCGAAGACGGGUAGCUGGUCUGAGAGGAUGAUCAGCCACACUGGAACUGAGACACGGUCCAGACUCCUACGGGAGGCAGCAGUGGGGAAUAUUGCGCAAUGGGCGAAAGCCUGACGCAGCCACGCCGCGUGAGCGGUGAAGGCCUCGGUC